rnacentral:rRNA from 1 species
UACGUAGGGUGCGAGCGUUGUCCGGAAUUACUGGGCGUAAAGAGCUCGUAGGCGGCUUGUCGCGUCGGAUGUGAAAGCCCGGGGCUUAACCCCGGGUCUGCAUUCGAUACGGGCAGGCUAGAGUUCGGUAGGGGAGAUCGGAAUUCCUGGUGUAGCGGUGAAAUGCGCAGAUAUCAGGAGGAACACCGGUGGCGAAGGCGGAUCUCUGGGCCGAUACUGACGCUGAGGAGCGAAAGCGUGGGGAGCGAACAGG